GCCAUCUUCUGUGGGGAUACACGGUCAGGGCGCGAGCAGGAGCCGCGCCCGCCGCUGCCGCCUUAAGUACGGGGCGGCGGGGCCGCGGCGGGAGGGACAUGGCGGGGGGCGACACGACCCGCCCGCGCCCUUGACGGGACACCGGGCCCGCCCGCGCCCGGAGGGAGGCCGGCCGCUCCCGCCCCGGCGGGACACCGGGCUCGCUCCCGCCCUGGCGGGGGGCCGGCUGCUCCCGCCCUGGCGGGACACCGGGCUCGCUCCCGCCCUGGCGGGGGGCCGGGCGGCCGGGUAGCGGUGCAGGCACGGAUCAGGAACGAGCGAGCCGCAGCAGAGCCGCCGGCCUGCCGCCAGCCCAGCGCCCCUGCCCCGCCGUGCGACGUCCCUCCCUCCCCACGGGCGGCCGGCAGCAGCCCAGGAGGACGCCGUGUCCGCAAGCCCCUUCUCCGACGCCCGGGAGAUCUCCUCAGCCUGACCCGGACCAAGCCAGGAUCCGCCGGCCCCUCCGUCAUGUGGGCGCCGGGACAUAACAUGGGGCAUUUCCCCGCUCCUUACGUCCACCUCUGUGCUCAUGCUUCUGCAGACCUUCUAUGAACAAGGAAAGCUGCUUAACGGCUGCGUAUCAAGCCAUCACACCAGUUGCGAGAAUGUUUUAAGAAAAAUCUCCCCACUGAUAGUGCCUACAGAAAGUUGCCGGUGCUGGACCUUCAGGACGUGCUGAUGAUGCCAAGGGAGGAUCAUCUCUCACUCAUUUACACAGUGGUGAGGAAGGACUGAGCUCCUUUAGGGAAAUGGAGAGUUAAAACCACAGUGCGGGUCUCCCCGAAACAAAGGUCUGUGCAGGCAUGCAUGGCUGUCUUUCACUGCCUGUUAUUUUGAGGGAUUGUGUGUCUGCGAUCUGGGUUAAAAAUAACCCAGAAAGGUUAACUUGAAAGGUUUUUUUAAAUGUCCUUCAUGUCAGUGAUUUGGUCUACCAUGUAGCCACAGAAUCAGAAUCAGAAGUGAUGGCACUACUGAAAGGGUGGCAACCACUAUCAAGAUGGCAGAAAGGAACAACUGGAGGGACUGAAAACUAGACCAAAGACAAAAAAUUUGUUGAUAUUUUAGGUUCUGCUUCUGGGAUGUCAACAGCCACCUGAAAUUGAAGGCAGCAUAAAUCAUAUCUUGAUACUUUGAUCCUACAGCCUCUUAGUACAGUCUUACCAAGCAGUUACUCACAGAAAUAAUGAAUUUCAGAUUUCACAGCAAGUAAUGAGGUGGCUCUGACUACAGCUUGCACUAUUUGUCCUCUGCUGACCAGAGGAACUUGAGUGACAGAAGUUCAAAACAAGACACUCCAAUGUUACUGUUCUGUUUGUAAAAGCAGUGAAUGUCCACUAAGGAAAAUAGUAGCCAACCGGAUCUGGACAGAUUCCAAAUCUUCAAACCUUUAGCAGCAGUCCCUCUGGGUAACUUACCAACACAAAGGAAACUUCACAGCAGUGCAAAGCCUAGCAGAAAGUGGGGAAUUGGCUAAAACUUGCAUUCUUGUGGCCAGUCUCCAAUGAAAAAAUGGUCCCUAGUCAACAAAGAAAAAGGACGACAAGCACUUAAAUAAGAAAAUGCAAAGAGUUAACUCUAAAGGAGUUGUACUAAGGUUCACUUUGAUAGACCAGUACAAAUACGAUUUGCUGUCUUCUUGUUUAAAUGAGAUGCAGUGCAGAAAAGAGAAAAUAAAGAGAAAGGCCAUGAA